rnacentral:rRNA from 1 species
GUGGGGAAUAUUGCGCAAUGGGCGGAAGCCUGACGCAGCAACGCCGCGUGCGGGAUGACGGCCUUCGGGUUGUAAACCGCUUUCAGCAGGGACGAAGCUUUUGUGACGGUACCUGCAGAAGAAGCACCGGCCAACUACGUGCCAGCAGCCGCGGUGAUACGUAGGGUGCGAGCGUUGUCCGGAAUUAUUGGGCGUAAAGAGCUUGUAGGCGGUUUGUCACGUCGAAAGUGAAAACUCGGGCCUUAAUCCUGAGCUUGCUUUCGAUACGGGCUGACUAGAGGAAUGUAGGGGAGAAUGGAAUUCCUGGUGGAGCGGUGGAAUGCGCAGAUAUCAGGAGGAACACCAGUGGCGAAGGCGGUUCUCUGGACAUUUCCUGACGCUGAGAAGCGAAAGCGUGGGGAGCAAACAGGG